UACGUAGGGGGCAAGCGUUGUCCGGAUUUAUUGGGCGUAAAGAGCUCGUAGGCGGUUUGUCGCGUCGGCUGUGAAAACUCGGGGCUCAACCCCGAGCCUGCAGUCGAUACGGGCAGACUAGAGUGCUGUAGGGGAGACUGGAAUUCCUGGUGUAGCGGUGAAAUGCGCAGAUAUCAGGAGGAACACCAAUGGCGAAGGCAGCUCGCUGGGACGGUACUGACGCUGAGGAGCGAAAGCGUGGGGAGCGAACAGG
rnacentral:rRNA from 1 species